UCCUGUGAGAGGCAUCACCACCGGCUGCCUCCCUUGUGACGAAGAUGAGCUCCUGCCAGCAUUUCCGAGCGUUUUCUUGCCAAAUACUUUCUGCCAGUUUGAAUACUUCUAACCCUUUCUUCUUGUGAAAACACACAUUCCUUAACUUUAAGUAAAAAUAAUUUCUUUAUGUGAAACCGGGGAAGAACGAUAAGAAAGACCCACAGAAAUAGGACAAACUGCAGUCGGGUGGAUGUCUUCCUUAGAUCAGCUAAGACUCCGGGAGGAAUCAGAGAUUAUUCUCUUGCCAAGAACUGCUUCACAGAAAGGGAUUUGAUUGAGAUGAUUCACAAGGACCAGAGUCAAGAUCACGUGGGCCCCUGAAGAGACGGACAGGAGCCUGCAGGUGGUGCUCUGACUCUCAGGACCCCUUGCUGUGGGCUGAGCAGGAGCUGAGCUGGGACCCGCCAGGAUGCCCUGGGCCCCGCCUGCCUCCCUGCAUCCACAGAACCAAUGACCAGAUGGUGUGGCUUUGGUCACUGCUGCUCUUACCACUGCUGUUCUCAGCCCCCUUGCCCGCCCCCAGAGGCCAGAGCAGCAAGAAGUGUGGUCGGGUCUUCUUGUGCCCCUGAUUAGGUGAAGAGAAGCGGGACCCUGAAGUAGAUGGUGUCGAUCCAAACUGACAUGUGCCGUGACACGAGUGGGGCCCCCACAGAGCCGAGGGCUGCAGGCGUCCCUCUGGGAGGCUGACAGGCGUCCAUGGAGGAGGAAGCCUGGCAUCUCCGCAGACCUUUCUCCUCUGGGUUCCGACCCGCCACACCCACAUGGUGGCGAGGCCUCUGGUGGGCCCAUCGCUCAUUACGGCUGCAACCAGCAAUCGUUUGCUGUGUCGCCCACACCUGACUGAGGGCUGCUGGGGUCCUGUGGCUGAACCCAGACUCGAGGGUAAGGGUGUGUGUGUGAACCUGGGCCAGGGAUGCAGAUGGCACAGGCGGAGAGCCCCUCUGAUUGGCCAGAGCGCCUGCACAUCAUCGCUGCAUGUAAUCCACCGCGGAGACUUGGUUUCGCCAUAUUCUGCAGAAAUAAGACAAAUAGGAGAAUAACCAGACUGUGAAGAAACAGGAAUGGAAUUCUGGUGAGAAAAUUGCUUGAUAAUAGCUAACACUAUAUCAUAGCGAGCAAACCUAAAUGUGUCCAAAUUAAUGUAUAUUCACACCAAACAAAUGUUAAUUAAACAAGCUACAGUGUAGCGCUCUGCUCGGGCUCUGAAGCUAUGCGUCCACCAAGCCGGGGCAGCCUGAGGUCCAGAAAUGCCAGGCACCACUUUCUCUGUGUCGCUUACCUUGUUGUUCAGUGAAGAUGCCCCUCUGGCUCGCACAUGUCAUUGCUGGGAGAGCUGCCUGGCUACCUCAGUAUUUCCUUCAGGUAUUGAUCACGCAUUAGUCAUUCCAAUAAAAGUCAGAAGAGCUGCCCACCGUGUGGGAGGGGUUUGAUUAGCCUCCUUUUGCAAAGGGCCUCUCCCUCCUCUUUGAGAUGGAAGGGUGGAGAUGUCUUUUUGAAUUUUUACUAUGGACCAGCCAAAGCCUCUCGGACAACACACAGUAGCACUGAUUUCAAAGUAAGUCUGCAGGUGUUAAAAGACCUACACUUGUCUCAUGAGAAAGUGUCCUGUAUUCAGAAAAGAAAAAGAGAUAGGGCAUUGCCUUGUCGGAGUUAAAAACGUGUCCCUCUGUCCGUGCCACACCAUUUGACUGCGGUCAACAGACACUCCCCAGCCUCCUUCCCUUUUCCUAACAGAAGAGAGGACCAGACAGAAGCCCUGCCUCUCCCCGGACCCAGGUUGGGGGAGGGGAAGGCCAGGGACCCCCGAUGGGCUCAGCUUUUCCAAUGAGAGUGUGUCCACCCAGGUCAUGAAGGGGUGGAGGUUUUCUCACUUCAGGAUGAUGAGCAUGAGAGGAAGGGCGAUAGGACCAGGCCUGGAGGUGGGUCGGUCCAGCAGAGGGGCAGCGUCCCGCUCUGGUGGUCAGGACCUGAGUUGACACUGUGGGUGUGGCCAGGCAGUUACCCACCCUCUCUGAGCCUCAUCUCCUUCAUCUGGAAAAAAGAGGAGGAAAAUAGCGUAGGUUUGUCACUUGUUAAGUGAGAAAAGC